GAAAUGCGAUAAGUAAUGUGAAUUGCAGAAUUCAGUGAAUCAUCGAAUCUUUGAACGCACCUUGCGCUCCUUGGUAUUCCGAGGAGCAUGCCUGUUUGAGUGUCAUGAAACUCUCAAACUCAAGUUUUGUGAAUCUAUUCCAAUUCUUGAGUUUGGACUUGGGUGUUUGCCGGUGAUAAACCGACUCGCCUUAAAAGAAUUAGCUGGAUCUGUCUUUACGACUGGUUUGACUUGGCAUAAUAAGUAUUUUGCUAAGGACAUCUUCGGAUGGCCAGUACCUUGACUAUUGUCUGCUAACUAAACUAUCACCUGUGUGCCUCUUGGCCGCUAGUGUACUUUGACAUCUGGCCUCAAAUCAAGUAGGACUACCCGCUGAACUUAA
rnacentral:misc_RNA from 1 species